CCUACGGGGGGCAGCAGUGGGGAAUUUUGGACAAUGGGGGCAACCCUGAUCCAGCCAUUCCGCGUGAGUGAAGAAGGCCUUCGGGUUGUAAAGCUCUUUCGGCAGGAACGAAACGGUGAGCUCUAACAUAGCUUGCUAAUGACGGUACCUGAAGAAGAAGCACCGGCUAACUACGUGCCAGCAGCCGCGGUAAUACGUAGGGUGCGAGCGUUAAUCGGAAUUACUGGGCGUAAAGCGUGCGCAGGCGGUUGUGUAAGACAGGUGUGAAAUCCCCG
rnacentral:rRNA from 1 species